rnacentral:rRNA from 1 species
AGUAAAAGUCGUAACAAGGUUUCCGUAGGUGAACCUGCGGAAGGAUCAUUAUCAAAACAGCGGACUUCGGUCCUUGCUGCACCCUUGUCUUUUGCGUACCGUAUGUUUCCUCGGCGGGCUUGCCUGCCGGUUGGACAAUAUCAAACCUUUUUGUAGUUGCAAUCAGCGUCAGAAAACAAAUAAUAAUUACAACUUUCAACAACGGAUCUCUUGGUUCUGGCAUCGAUGAAGAACGCAGCGAAAUGCGAAAAGUAGUGUGAAUUGCAGAAUUCAGUGAAUCAUCGAAUCUUUGAACGCACAUUGCGCCCCUUGGUAUUCCAUGGGGCAUGCCUGUUCGAGCGUCAUUUUGUACCCUCAAGCACUGCUUGGUGUUGGGCGUUUGUCCUGCGAAGGACUCGCCUGAAAGCGAUUGGCGGCCAACGUACUGGUGGUAGAGCGCAGCACAAUUUGCGUCUCUCCCUGCUACGUCGGCGUCCAUGAAGCCCAUUUUCAACGUUUGACCUCGGAUCAGGUAGGGAUACCCGCUGAACUUAAGCAUAUCAAUAAGCGGAGGAAAAGAAACCAACAGGGAUUGCCCCAGUAACG